GGAGCAGGUAUCAGGCACGACCUGUCAGCCCAAAACGCCUUGCUACGCCACACCCACAUGGGUACUCAGCAGUAAUUGAUAUUAAGCAAUGAGUAAAAGCCACCUUAAGCUCGACUUAGUUAUGAUCACUAGGGCCGGUUAACCUCGUGCCAGCCACCGCGGUUAUACGAAGGGCCCAAAACAGCAGACACCGGCGUAAAUUGUGACUAGAGACACCACCUUAAACAGGAAGAAAUAAACCACACCCUAACCGUAAAACAUAGGCUAAAUGAAACCCUCCACUCUUCUUACACAAGGUUGCUUGAACCCACGAAAACUAAGAAACAAACUAGGAUUAGACACCCUACUAUGCUUAGACGUAAACAAGACACUACACAACUAAAGUGUCCGCCAGAGAAUUACAAGCGAAAAGCUUAAAACUCAAAGGACUUGGCGGUGCUCCGUACUCAACUUAGAGGAGCCUGUCCUAUAAUCGAUACUCCACGAUAAACCCUACCAUCUUUUGCCAACCCAGCCUAUAUACCGCCGUCGAAAACUUACCCCAUGAGGAGAUAAAAAGUAAGUAAAAUAGUUAAUCACUAACACGUCAGGUCAAGGUGUAGCUUACAAGAUGGCAGAGAUGGGCUACAUUUUCUAACAAGAACACACGGCAAUGGGCCAUGAAAUACCCCCACGAAGGCGGAUUUAACAGUAAGAUAAUUAAGAAAAA
rnacentral:rRNA from 1 species